AACGAACGCUGGCGGCGCGUCUUAACCAUGCAAGUCGAGCGGCAGGCAGCAAUGCCGAGAGCGGCGGACUGGUGAGUAACACGUGGAUAACGUACCCCGAUGUCCGGGACAGCCUGUAGAAAUAGAGGGUAAUACCGGAUAGAUCACUGUUUACGUGAGGUAGACAGCGGGAAAGGAGCUUCGGCUCCGCGACGGGAUCGGUCUGCGGCCCAUCAGCUGGACGGCGGGGUAAAGGCCCGCCGUGGCGAGGACGGGUAUCCGGCCUGAGAGGGCGGACGGACACAUUGGGACUGAGAUACGGCCCAGACUCCUACGGGAGGCAGCAGGUAAGAAUAUUCCGCAAUGGGGGGAACCCUGACGGAGCGACGCCGCGUGAACGAAGAGGGCCGGAAGGUUGUAAAGUUCUUUUCUGUCCGAAGAAUAAGUUUCGGAGGAAAUGCCGGGACGGUGACGGUAGGGCAGGAAUAAGCACCGGCUAAUUACGUG
rnacentral:rRNA from 1 species